GCCUGCCCUCUGGCCUUCUCAGGGAGUGCAGUACUGAUUAAAGAGAAGGCCAGCAGGUUCUCUUCUUAUUUAUCCCUAUGGUCAACAGAUCAGACAAUCAGGAUACUGGGACUGAGCAGUGUCUUCACUUGAGCUUCAAGCUGAGAUGGUUGAAGUUGCUCUGGAAUCACUGCAAGAGGAUCUGCAGCUCUGAUCCUUUGAGGAGCAAAUGCUGGAGGUGCUUUGCCUCUUGAAGCCCAACAAUAAGCAGCAGUAAAUAUGCAAUUCUGUGUGCAAUGUGUCUGUUCCUGUGGAAGGUGAAUUUUUUUAAAAUUCAAUUACACAUAAAUAUAAAUAAAGCAAGUGAAGGAUAGAAAAGUUUGGGAAGG
rnacentral:lncRNA from 1 species